rnacentral:lncRNA from 1 species
UUUUUUUUUUUUUUUUUUUUUUACUGAUGUCCCUUGUUGCCUGUUAUUCAGCUAUGGCAUUGAGGCACUGAGUGUCUACACUUCUAUUUACCACUGUCAGGAUACACUUAGGGCCUUCACUAAUGACCCGAGUUAUUCUGGUCAUCUGUGGAACUGGUGACAGAUGGAAUACCUUAGGGGAGGCAGCUGGUAACAUCACAAAGGGCUUUGCAGGGACAAGAGUGAAGUUGUGGAUUUGUAUUUUUUGAAGCUCCCAAGUGAGUUGUAAUGUGAAAAUAAAGUUCAGCCUAAUGUGCCAUCAUUGUCCCCAGCCGCCUGAUGUGGAGCAUGCUCUCUAGCACAUUUUAAAGCCUCCGUGUUUUUUUUUUUUUAAAGGGUUAAGCAUCAGGGUUUGCAUCUGUGCUGUUCAAAGACUUGAGAGCCACCCUGUUGUUUUGUGAUGGGGGAGGUGGGUGACUGCCAUCUGCACUGUGAGGAAGACCCAGCCAAAGUAUCACUGAGCCCAGGGUCCUGUGGGAGAUCCCAUAAAUCCUGAACCUCACGUAGUGUUACUUUUCCAGGUCAUUCUACUCUGGUCAGCAGGGCGUGGUCUCCAGAAGAUGUGACCAGGCUUGUCCUGUCUGGACACAGCUUCCCCAAAGACCCCUAAGGAACUCUUGAAGGUGCUGCGGAGAGACUUAAAUGAGGGGCCAGGAGUAUUCAGCAAUGUCCAUCAUGUCUGUGUCAGCAAAUGCUGAGGCUUGGGGCUCUCUCACUGAGCUAGAGGGGAAGUGGCUAAUAGGAAAUACCAGGGGCUGAGAGCAACAUACCGGGAAAAGAAUAAGAAAAACCCAGCUAGCUCAGUCCUGAAAUAUUUAAGAGACUCAACUCUUAAUCUGCCCAUCCUCCACAUUGGUCAGUGUGAUGUGUAAAGCUGACCCAGGAUAUCUCUACCCAAUACACAGAACUCCCAGUGAGGGUCCAAUUCCCUGUGGGACUUUCCCAGAACACCCUUUGUUGAUCUCCUUCAAAAGUACCACACUCAUGGAAGUGAGCUAUGCAGUCUGUUCUAGGCCAUUCCAGUUCUCUCCCAGGUUAGACCUUACCAGGCUGCAGCCUGUGGCCAUUCCAGUUCUCUCCCAGGUUAGACCUUACCAGGCUGCAGCCUGUGGCUCUCUGGAAGGGCUGAGUUACAGAGCAGGUUUCCUGAAGCUAUACUCGUCAUUUGUCUCCCUUGGGGGCAAGGGCUGUAUCUGACUGUAGACCAGCCUACAGCUGGACUGGACAGAAUGCCCUUGAAAAUGAUCUGUUGUUGGGAGAUAGGGAUGUUGGGUCAACACCACUAGCAGACAGGCUCAGGAUGUGGCCUUCAUCGCACUGUUAACAUCCCCAACAGUGUAUCUGACCCCUGCCGACCAUGACAGUGUGAAGCCUGGCUAGGGAGACAUAGAAGACCUGAGGCAGGGAUUUUGUUCCUGUGACCAUCUGAUUGCUGCAGGCUGUACAUGGGUUCAGCCAUUCAGCUCCAGAAGUAUGCAGUCCUCACCUGCUGGCUUCAACUGCUCUGAUACCUACACAUCCCUUCUUAGAACUCUGCAUGGCCCCUUGAUCCUAUAAGCCCUUCCUUUCUGAGCCCUACAAGUCCUUCCCCUCUGGACUCCUUCAUAAGCCCAUCUCUUCCUGCUCUCCCUAGGCCAUGUCAUGACACCUGUAACUGAAAUGAUGUUCCUUGCUAGCAAGUACAUCUGUGCUGUGAAGAUCGCCUAGUAGAUAGUAUCCUAUGUACCUUUUGUAUAGAUUUAUGACUUUUAGAGAAACCAUUUCUUCCCUCUAUUUCAGUUAAAGCAACGUGAUCAGGGUCAUGAAAGAGGAAAACUCCCAUUUAAAUCUGAAAGAUAUCCAGGCAUGGCAGUACAAGCUUGUAAAUCUUGGAAGUCAAGAGGCUGAGACAGGAGGAUUGCUCUGAGUUCAUGGCCAGCCUGAGCAACGUAGUUCCAGGGCUACAUAGCAAGAUUAUAUCUAAAAAAUAAGACAAAAUAAAAUACAAAACCAAUGUGAAAGACAGACAUUCAACUUAAAUCUGAAGGACAGUCCCACUACAGUUAUCACAGGCUACCCUCAGAGCAGAUGCCAAGGAAGAUAGAAUCAUAAUUAAAAUAGCAGGUAACAGAGGAAUCCUUACUUGGAGUUUCCCUCCAGCUUUUGUGAACUACCCUGGAGAAAACAACAUGCAACUCCAUGUACAGCUUGGCCAUGCACAGCAUUUAGAAGAGCAAAAGACAUAAAGACCACAGGUUGGUGGGAAGACAGCAGAGUCAGGAUGAACCCACAGCACAAUACAGUCAAAGGACUCUGGGAGAAUGCCAGUGACCUCAGCCAGCACUUACCCUGAGAAAGGGUCCUUAUUAGGAGGCUGUAAAGAUAAGGGUCGGACUUCCACAAGCAAGCUUUACAGUGGGAUUGUACUCAGUGCACUCACUGCCUAAUUACACACUCAAAGAAAUGUGUGAACACCUUUAGGGCCUGAGUUCAGAGCCCCAGCAAUCAUGUGAAAGUUGGGCAUCAGCAUUACAGGAGAAGAGACACAAAGACACGAGGACCUCUAGAACUCAGGACAGCCAGCCUAGGCAUAUCAGUGAGCUCUGUGUUCAAUGAGAGACCCUAUCUGAAAGGAUAAGAUGGAGAGCAAGUGAGAAAGAUCCUGAAUGUUGACCUGUAGACUCCAUACAUAUAUGCGCACACCCACAUGAACAUGUUCACACUCCAUAUACAGAGUGAAGAAGAAGGUAACUCUAAGGCAACCUACCUGUCCUGGUAUUAUCAAUGUAACACAACCUAGAGUCACUUAGAAGAGGGGACCUAGUUGAGGAAUUGCCCAGGUAAGACUUGUUUGUGGCCAUGUCUGUAAGAGACUAUUUUGAUUGAUGCUUUGAUAUAGGAGGGUCCAGCCUGCUGUAGGUGACAUCAUCCCUAAGCCUGUGGUCCUGGGCUUAAUAAGAUAGCUAGCUGAGAGAGGAAUCAGGCCAGGGAGCAUCUUAAGAGGCACUCUUCCCUGGCUUCUGCUUCCAGUUCCUGCCUUGAGUUCCUUCCCUCAGUGAUGGGCUAUCAUCAGGAAGUGUAAGCUGAAAUAAACUGCUCUCCAAAGUUGCUUUUGGUUCUAUCACAGCAACAGAAAAAAAGUAAGUAGAGCACUUCCUUUCAUGAAGCCAAAGUAAACAAGCAGUUAGGGAUAUGAAAACAGACAUAUGGUAAGCUCAUGGUAAGAAGAACUGAGGGCUGGCAAGAUGACUCAGCAGAUAAGAGCACUGACUGCUCUUCUGAAGGUCCUGAGUUCAAAUUCCAGUAACCACAUGGUGGCUCACAACCACCCAUAAUAAGAUCUGGCGCCCUCUUCUGGUGCUGUCUGAAGACAGCUACAGUGUAUUAUUUAUAAUAAUAAAUAAAUCUUUGGGCCAAAGCAAGCAGGACCAACCAGAGAGAGCAGGGUUUACUGGAGCGAGCAGAGGUCCUAAAUUCCAUUCCCAACAACCAGAUGAAGGCUCACAACUAUCUGUACAGCUACAGUGUGUACUCAUAUACAUAAAAUAAAUAAAUCUUUUUUUUUUUUAAAAAAGAACUGAAGGAAAAAAAUGCAGUCACCUCAGGAACAAUGCAACUCUAAUCACCAAGGGAAGAAGGGCUAAACCAGGACAGGGAGCCAACCAGGGUAGGUAGGUGGGUUGGGGAGCACCCUGUAGAAGCUGGGGUGGGGAUGGGAUAGGGGGUUUCUGGAGGGAAAACCAGGAAAGGGGACAGCAUUUGAAAUGUAAGUAAAGAAAAUAUCU